rnacentral:tRNA from 1 species
GAGGAUAUGGCCCAGUGGUAAAGUGUGUGCUUAGUAGGCAUGAGGUCUUGGGUUCAAUCACCAGUACCUUCA